rnacentral:tmRNA from 2 species
GGGGAUGAAUCAGCAUCGACGUUUAGUCCAUUCACAUCUUUGCAAGCCGAGCCUGUAAAACCGCUCGUAAAUAUCGUUUUACACAUGACAAUUGCCAACGUCAUUUCCAAGGUUCGCGAAACGGUUGCUCACGCAUUCCGUGCUCCAGCCUUUGUUCCGACCUUCGCUUAACGCGAAUACCUUCGGACCGGUCCUUGCUUAAGCGCCUUCUUAAGCAAACGGCUGUUAUACUUCGAGGCUAGCUCCAAGUGCCCAUGCUCGGCACAAGGAGGACAGGCUUGAGCAUCCAUCUAGAUGAUCUUGUUCUUUUAUCCCAUCUAGACUAGCUCUUAGAAAGAACUAAGCUUGUGAGCGAAAAGGGUGAUUAGGUUAGACGGACGGGGGUGCGAUACCCCCCAUCUCCACCA